AUCAAGAGUUGGACGCUUAACCGACUAAGUCACCCAGACGCCCCAGAAUAAUGCUACAUCUUACAACUAAUGGCAUAUUAGAACAGAUUAUGUAAUGAAGCACAGCUUUAGAACUGACUGAUUUUCCUUUACUUUACAUGUCGGCAAGAUGAACGAAGUCUAGCCUGUCCAAGGCCUUCCCACCGUGGGGAGGGGCUGGUGGAGCUGGGAGCUAAAAUAUGACAUCAGGAAUAUUCCAUGUUGUAGACGGGCACGGGCGCUGGACUGUGGGGGCAGUGAUCCACUGUCAUAUUUUCUAUGUCGUAAUUCUCUUGUGCUAUAGACAUACAUUCAAUGUUUGCUCCUUGUAACAGCCUGAUCUUAUCUCUGAAAUAAGCAAGGCCCAAACCUACCUGUGUCGUGUAGCGGAAAUAGAAGAGCAGUGAGAAGGAGAAAAUGGUUACCAAACAGCAAGAAGUGACCUAAGAAGGGUGGACAGUUGAUGGAAGUGAUGAGGAGCGGUCUACAUGGGGAAGGAAACCGGUCAUUCCUUCCAGACUGCCGUGGCCCUCCCUAAAUGAUAUAGUGACCAUCUGAGGAACAUCUACCUUCAACCUGAUGGCACACUCCUUAAAAGUAAGGACUUGCACUAUUCAUCUUUGAUCCCUCUAUGUCCACCAUGCUGAAUGUCGUAGGAGCCCAAUAAAUGCCCAUUAAUCAAAUCAAGGACCCAACAGUCAUUCAUAAAAAAAAAAAAAAAAAAAAGUGACAAGUGACAUGCAGUGAAUUACAGACUGUCUUAACUACCUGUUAGGAUUUCAGCAAAACCUACAAAGCCUGCCCUUUUGCGAGUCUACAGACGGCAACAUUUAUGACAGCAGACCUUCAAUUAAAAAUCAUUACUUAAGUUCCUUUAUUACAGCUACAAAUAAACUUUAUUUGAUGUAAUGUAAUAAAACAUUUUCAAAUUUAACAACA